AUGAGUACGUUAAGUUGGAACUGCCGAGGGCUUGGGAACCCUUGGUCAGUUCAAGAGCUUCGCAAAGUGGUGAAGAAAGAAGGUCCCGCCCUUUUAUUUGUAAUGGAAACUAAAAUAAAGGGCAAGAAAGUGGAGGAGUUGAAGACCUCUCUAGGGUUUUCUGGUUGUUUUGCCGUCGACAGCGACGGGCUUAGUGGUGGUAUAGGUUUGUUUUGGUCAAGAGAUGUU
rnacentral:rRNA from 1 species